rnacentral:rRNA from 1 species
UGUCGAGUCAUUGGGAUGAGCGAAACCUAAAGGCGAAAUGAAAGUGAAGGCCCGCCUUGCGCGGGCCGAGGACGGAUGGGCGGCGGCACGCCGCCGCCCCGCACGUCCGGGGCGUCCCGAUCUCAUCGCGAGAUGGGGCGCACCCAGAGCGUACACGCUGGGACCCGAAAGAUGGUGAACUAUGCCUGGUCAGGACGAAGUCAGGGGAAACCCUGAUGGAGGUCCGCAGCGAUUCUGACGUGCAAAUCGAUCGUCGGAACUGGGUAUAGGGGCGAAAGACUAAUCGAACCAUCUAGUAGCUGGUUCCCUCCGAAGUUUCCCUCAGGAUAGCUGGCGCUCGCUGUUGCGAGUCUCAUCCGGUAAAGCGAAUGAUUAGAGGCAUUGGGGCCGAAACGGCCUCAACCUAUUCUCAAACUUUAAAUGGGUGAGAUCUCCGGCUUGCUUGAACGAAGCCGCGAGACCUCGGAUCAGAGUGCCAAGUGGGCCACUUUUGGUAAGCAGAACUGGCGCUGUGGGAUGAACCAAACGCCGAGUUAAAGCGCCAAAAUCGACGCUUAUGGGAUACCAUGAAAGGCGUUG